CGGCAAAACUGGCAGAGGCUGCUGGGCCUGAUUAGGCACCAGGAAUGACAGAGAGGCUGGCACAGAGCCCAAUGUGCCCAUGUACAACUAUGUAUGCCACAUUUGUGUACAACAUCACCAGUUCUCAAAACCCAAGGCCACUGAUCUGAGGCCAGCAAUGCCAGUUAACCCUCAUGUAGGACUUGCCACAUGCCAGGCACUGUGUGAAGCUCUUCAAGUGUAUCAUCUCAUAAUUCUUCAACAAUCUUACAAGCAGUUCCUUUCACUUGUAACGUGAAAGAUCGCUUUGCUGGAGACUGCUGCGUGUUGGAGACAAAAGGAAAGGAAGAGGGAGAGUACCUGCCAGUGAUGGAGAGAAGAGUUUUACCUAUGUGAUCUCUUCCCUCUCUUCUGCUUCCUUUUCAGAGUCCACAUUGGUUGUUUAUGCACCGCAGAUCUGGGGAGCUUGUGCUCACUAUAUAGGUUAGUAUAGCUUCAGAAGCUAAGAGUCAGGCCUGCCUCUUGUCUAGAGCUGAUCAGGAGGGAGAAAGAAGGGAGAGAGGCAGCAGGGCUGAAAGAAGAAAAGCAAAGAUGGACCUUUUUCUUUUCACCCAAUCUUGCCGACAGCCAGGUCAGCUGGGCCUUUCAUUUGAAUGUCAAGAUGAUGAGAUGAUGCCAAGAACAGACAAACACAGAAUUCUCAUGGUGAUGCUAAAGAAAAAAAAAAGAAAGAAAGAAAAAAAAACCCCAGAUAAAUCUCUGUCAUAUGGAAUCUGGCUGGGGUGGGGGCAGAAUUGUGUA